UGCUACGGCUAAGCUAACGAGCUUGAUAGCAUUGAGUCAGCACACUACAAGUGUACAGACUGUUUGCGUAUAGUUGGACUAACCCAGUUGAACUGUGCGAGAGGGGAAAGACUGUUUUCAGCCCGGGAACGGAGUAAAUACCCUGCUCGAGGAUUGACAGAGCCUCAUCUGUACCUGUUCUGGAAGCGAGGUGAGCGAGGAGACGGUGGACUCUGCUGUGCCGGUGAGGUGAGAAGGAUCUGCUUCAGAGCAAUUACCUGACUGUUGGAUUACAGACUAGCAACCAAAAUACUAAGAUUUUUGAUCACCAUUUGAGGACACCUCUGGUGUAGCUGGCAUAGGGAUCAUUUUUUUCUGGAAGAAAAGUCAUGUGACCCAUUGCUGCCAACCCCACCCCUUUCAUAUGAACGCCUGGGUUAACUUAGUAGCUUCGCGUGACUGCUUAUCCUGAUCGCCAACGUUAGGGACUGUCUGUACACAGCUGGGAGGAAAAUAAUGAGAUCAACAACACGAUGGCCCACAGGAGCUGUAAGGACAGCAAGAUCAAAGCUAUGGACGAGUAU